GCACUUCAACCACACGUGAUUUUUUUUAAAUUACAAAUCUCAAAUUGUGGAGUACAGAGGCAAAUAAAUAAAUGAUGGGUCUUUGUCCCAAACAUGGAGGGCGCUGUAGAUCCGUUGCUAAUGUAGCCCGUUCUUGAGUCCACUAUUAUUGCAAUUUAGCUCAUCAGUAAAAUGCAUAGUUGAAAGCAGUUUAGAUUUUGCAUAAUCUUUCUAGAGCAGGAUGUGUGAAGGUGUAAUGCAAUUUAAUCUUAUGAGUGGCAUUCUUAGCUUUUCUUUGCAGUUUCAUUCUGAUUAUCACUAUGGCAAGCUACUUAGGAAGUACUUGCCUAUUUGUUUGCAGUCUGUAUUUACUGCCAUGCAAAAUAGUGCCCCAUAACUUUUUUUUCUAACAGAAGGAGAUUAGGAAAACUGAUGGUAAGGUAUCAGUCGAAGUGUUGACUAAUGACAAAGCAGUUUCUUUAAACUGACAAUGGAUUUGUUUUCUGAUGAAUUAUGACCUGCUCCACAUUAUUUAGUUGCAAUUUGCUAUUUUUAAAUCUGAAAAAAAAAAGAUUAUUUGGUUUGUUUUUGCCUAUUAUUCCAUCUUUUUGAAAGUGACGUUUCUGUGCAAAUUGCACUUUUUACACCUGCAUAUUAUAAUAGUUGCUCAGUUUAAUUAUGCAAAAAUGCAGUCUGUGUUUGCCACUGUAUUUAUUGAAGUACAGGUGUGUUCCAGCCACUAUAGCUCUAGCUCUGUAAGGGUAACCUGGCGUAUGCUGUGCACCAUCCUUGAUUCUGUUUCUUCAAGGAGCUAUGCAGUGUAAGUACAUUAGAAUACAUCUUGACUGAAAUGGAGAUGUCUUACUGUGCUGUAACACUUGAAAUUGUUUUUGCCCGUUUCUCUUAAACUGAAGUUUUCUGUAGAGAAUGUGUCCUUGAUCACAUACUUAGCAUGUAAAGCUUGUAGGAAUUGAACUGAUAGGUGUUUUCCCUGCUAGUAUUGCUGAUUACAAAUCUAUAAAAGGUAAGUAUUUCCUAAAUUGUAUUAAUUGAUGACUGAGAUGUUGCUAAGUAGAAAUCUACUUUGGGUGAUGCUGUGCUAGCUUUUCUUAGGUUACUUGGACUGUAUGCACAUAUAUUUUGUUGAUGAAGGUAGGUAGGUCAGGAGUAUGUUGCAUUUCAACUGCCUUUGAUGUUCAUCUUAUUAAAUAACCAAGAAUAUCUGCUUUUGAUGUUGAUGCUUCAAACAUUGAGAGUUAUUUCUAGUUUUCCAAAUGGACACAUAAUAUUUUCCAGAGUUGACUUUUGUUGUAAUCUGCUUUAGAAAUUGCUAACUGAAGUGGUAACUGUUGAAUAAAUGUUUUGGGUUGUGCUUAUUUUGCUGGACAUGAGAAUGAAGUGUUGCGGGUUUUUUUUGCUGUGGAUAACAUUGUUCUGAGCGGGCAUUUUAACUUAAUAGACAUUAGUUUUGUUCUUCACUUCGACAUGCUGUUUUGAAUUGAAUGCUCUUUGAUUGUUUCAAUUGGAUGAAGAAAUCCUAUUGAUAUAUGAUGGAGGUGAAUUGUACUGUUUGCACACUGUUAAAAACAGUGUGCCGGUCGGUUACUGUAACUUAGUUUCACAGUUGGGCCCAUUUUCACAGAAUCUAAUUUUGCAGGCAUUAAACAAACCCCUACUUGAGCCACAAAGAACGUUCAGUAGCCCAGCUGCUGGGGACUGCUUUUUUAGAUUUGGAGAAUCGAAUGAGUACUAUGACAAAGAGAACCACGAGACAUCUGCAGGUUGAUCCUCAAUAUUAUAGACCUAAGCACUUCUGACAGUGUGACCUUGCAGACAAAAUCCAGGCCAAAUUGAAUUAGUCUUGACAAAAUCUUCACCGGGAUUACACACGUGCCUGUUCAAAAGUUUGGAUGAUCCAGACUCCUUAACAUUGGUCAGCAGCAGUCCUGGAUCCCAAGGUGAGGAAGCCAAUCACCUCCCACAGUCUAUCAGAAUUGUACAUUUAUGCUGGUGGCUCUGGAUAUUUGCCAUAGACUGCCAAUGAACUAAUUUUAUUUUUAAUUGCAUGUAGUUUGUGUUUCUAUGCCAGAUAUAUAUCAUUUUAUACAUUUGCGCAGCUGGCUGUGAUCUCAGUUAAAAAACUUGAUGCUAGGAUUUGAACCGUGCAUUUACCGUUUGAAUAAUAUUCUGAAAUCAUAAGCUUAUAUUUCUUAAAGAAAAUGUGGGUGAUUUUGUUGCAGAAUACGGCGCUGUCAGCAUAUUUUCCAAUAGGAAUAAAUACCUAUUAAACUUCAACCCCCCCCCCCCCCCCAAGAGAAAUGCGCUUCAUGUCACUGCACGUAGGGAGCAGUUUGAAUUCUGGACUGGUUAGUCCCCCUUGUUCAUUGACAGCUGCGUGUAGGACUAGGUAUUAAGAAGGUUAUCACACUUUGACUGAUGAGAGGUCAUUGCUCUUCUAUCAUCCUCCUUAUUCCACCCCAUUGUCCUCCAUAGCCCCAUUAAUUUUUCCCUUCCAGUUUUUCUGACAUGCUUAGGGAAAAGGACCCUUGCCUGUGAAAUUGACCUUCCCUUUACUUCUGACAUAACACAUCCACCCCUACUCCUUCAUAUAUUCGCAUAGCUGUUUGUUGAAAACUUGGUCGGGGAAUUGUGGGGAAUGUCUGAGUUUGUUAAUUGAGUUUUUAAUCAGAUUAAACGUGAUGGGGGCUUGACAGAAUCUGGUAUCUUUUAUGCAGUUACAUGGAAUGUGGGGUGGUUAUUGGGAAACAUAGUGCACGUAUCAACUAUUGAGAUGGCCAUAAAACGGGCUGAGAAAGUGGUAGAGAACAGAUAUCUGAACCUUUAUUUUUCUUGCUGGUGCACUUCUCUAUUCCAUAGGAAACACUUUGGGGAUAUUUUGCACAUUAUUGUUUAUUCGUCCAGAGCAUGUGUUGAAGAAUGGCCUGUAUCAAAUUAUUUGCUGUUUUAAUAGUAAUGAAGCAAUCAGAAAUGAUGACUUUUGAAUAGUGUGGCUCUUUUGAAGCUUUCUGCAGUAUGUAACCAAUGCAUGCAAUUUUUGGGGUAUUUAGGCAGCAACAACAAAAGUUGAAGGGAUAUUACAGAGGAUUAGUUACCUAUAUAUUCUAAAUUAGUAUGGUGCCCUGUUUAAAACAAGAUAAACCAGUUCUAUACAUCGUGUAUCACAACUGAAUGCCAAAUUGAUUGUAAUGCUGACUUAAUAAGGAAGUGUUUCAAAAUGGAGGCUGUUGGUAUAGUUUUCUUGUACCAUGUGAAGUCGCAACUCAUUGCAAAUGAAGUGCAAUUUUUAUACUUCGCAGUGUCACCCAGACCUUGAACCUUAAGUUCUGCUGCAGUACACUGAAGGUAAGCAAGAACAAAGGCGCAUUCUUUGAGGGUUGAAAAGAUUUGAAUCAGUUAAUUGGCCCUCCAUGUAUGCAUUAUUGUGAUGAAACCCCCCUUUUGUCUACAGUACAAGAAUGGUAUUUACAUGUUAGUCUAAUUAGCCAAAUGUUAUGUAAUUCAUUACCAUAUGCACAAAUUUAUGCAAGUUAAACCAUAAAAGGCUAUGAGUAUGGAAUUAUACAGAAGCAUAGGAAUAUUCGUCAGUCAGCAUCUGAAAAAAGAGACUGGUUAAAGUUCUGGGCCUGCACCUGAAACUUUAUCUGUCUUCUCGGGUUCCAUCAGGUUAGCUUUGCUGCUUUAGUACUCUGAUUGUGGAUGAAGUAGGAGUUUGCAUAUAUACACAAUGUUUGUGUGUGUUGUUUACAACUCCAAUAUUUAUUUUGGCAGAAAAUACAGUAGAACUUACUUUUGAUAGAGGUUUAACUUAAAACGAUACAAAGUUCCAUGUCCCAAAGGUCUUCUUAAUUUAGACUUCAUUUUAUAUUAGGUUUCUAUAAUGACUGUCAUUAGUUCAUUCUAAAUCUCCUAAUUGCAAUGUAAUUCGGUUGGGUGGGGGCUUGGAUAUGUUUAAUAAUAGAUUGUUAGGAGGGAUUGGGGGUGUUGGAGUAGGGAAAUACCUAUCCAGUAUGUAUAUUUGUGAAGAAAAAGCUACAUACAUAUUUUGCCAUGGACUAUUCCACGUUGUCUUAUUUUAACCCUCUUCCAUUCCAGCUGAUAAAUGCUGAUGGUUAUUUCACCCCAUGCAGUGUACAGGUUCUAAAAAUGGUGCACAUUCUUUGCACCAUGUGAUAAGCAUGUAACAAAGCAACUUUGCCGAUUGGGUCUUGCUGUUUCUGCAUUGGGGCCUUGUGAAGAGGCUUUUGAGAAAUAGUCUGGAGAGAGGGUUAAAUAUAAGCAAUUUAUGCAGCACUAAUUGUAGGCAGAUAAUUGUAUCUUAAGAUGAGGUAUGCUGUUAUUUUGGUGUGUAAUUUUAAUGGUGAACUACCAUUUAAUGGCAGGUUUGUGCUCUAGUUUAUUGUACUCUGGUUGAUAAUUAGCUCCGAAACCUCCAUGAGCUUAGAUGAGUGAAUCUACCUUCAGUACUAUUUUUUAUUUUAGAGGAUUGAAUAUGCCAGAAGUUCUUACUUUUUUCUUUUUUAAUCAGAAAAUCUUAGGAUUGCGUUUAAAAAGCCAAGUUCACUUUCCAUUUAAAAGGCCAACUUGCUUUCCUCUUUGCAAUCCCCCCCCGCCCCCGCCCCCCCAAAGUGUGCGUAGAUGGUGCCUUCGUUCCAGCACGGCGCUGAAGACCCGAUUCGUAGGUCAUAGGAGCAGGCCCUGAGAUAGUUACUACCCUUAUGGAGGAUUCCUUUGAGUUCAUCCUGUUGAACUGAUAAUACAGAAAUUGCAAAGGCCCCUUGAUUGGCGACUCGCUCUCUGAAUUUUUGGCCUAUGAACUGGUCUUCUGCUCCCGUGUUUCAGUUGCAUACAAAUGUUAAACUAUGUGCACUUCUUUCUGCAGGCUGAAACCAUUUUUAAAUGCCAUAGUUAAGUCCUAUUCUAGAGCUCUACAAAUUUUUAAGUCAUCCGUUUAGAAUUGCAAGACUUAACCUGUGCAAUUUUUGCUUGUUUUCCCGAUGGUCAGUUUGUUUUUCCUUUCUUUUUCAUGUUUUCUACGAGGUUCAAUUUAAAUUUAACUUUCUGAAUUACCAAUGAACAUAUCAAAUGUAUGUGCAUUAUAAUUUUGAAACUAGAUUUUAAGUUGAAUAGAGCAGAAUUACGGAGGUGUAGCAGUUAGUCUGUCUUGCCACUUACUUAAUGGUCCAAUGUAAAUAUAACAAUCUGUGCGUUAAGUGAGGGAUAAUAGUCCUUUCUUUAGUGUGGGUGGGUGGGUGUAGCUUUAUUAUAUAUAAAUGUGUGCAUUGAAAAAUAUUUGAGAACUUGCCUGAACAGCUUGCACAUUUUUGUCUCAAAUGUUUAGAAGUCUUGAUUUUAAAAACAUCCGCAGAAGAAAACUUCUGCCUUUUCGAUUACUAUACACAAUUUGUCGUUAGGUUCUGCAGGGAAUUGUUAACACAAGGCAGUGUUAUAAAGUAGGCCGUAACUGCUAGAAUUUAUUAGAGGAAUGAUGUACUUGGAUUUAACUGCAGAUUUUUGCUGUUGUCCUUGUUUGUACUUUUAAUAUUAGUACACUGUUAGAUAGGUUUCCUGCAUAUUUCUUUUACAUUUUUUUAAACAUGGCUUUUUGAGAUGGAUUAGAUAUUAUCUCGAAGAAAAAAUUCUUCAGAAAAUGUGCAUUGCUGGAGAAGACUACUAAGCAAGUAAAGGGCUUGCUGUGGUUGGAGAAAGGGAUAUCAUACAGAUUUGGAGCUGAGCCGUAAGGUAACCUCAAUCUGACAAACCUGUUUGAGAAUGAUGCAGAUGUAUUGAUACUGAAGGUUUUACCGACAUGCAAUCUAAUCUUAGUGUGAAUUAAAUUGUAACGGUUUUGAAAUUUAUAAAUAAAGCUUCCCGUUGCGCAAAUAA